CCAAGCGGACCAAGAGUCCUGUUAAUGGAACCAGUUCAGGAUGCAGACGCCCACGUGGAAAGGAGUAUUUCCCAGAGCAGCCUCCAGAGGGCACCACCAUCACACCGGUUACCCCAUUGGCGACCCCACCUACAAGCAAGCCCCCGCCUCACCUGUACCUGCGAAGUCUACACCAUGCACACCUCAAGGCUGUGUAGAUUCACAGAUUUGUUACAUCUGCAUCUCAGCUCCUCUACCAGACUGUGAGUUCCCGGCGGCAGGCUCAGUGUCCCCAGGGCUCCCAGCGGCCCCUGUGGCCCAAGCUGAAGGAACAAAGGUGCUUGGUGCUUUCUGGUUCUGCAAGGCCGCUCUGCCAGGCCUGCCUCCGUGACCCACCCGUCUGCGCACUGAACUCAGGGAGGGGAGACCCCUGUCCCAGGCUCCGACUAGCACUUCCGUCAGAUGCACAGGUCUUUUGGUUUCUGCUUGCAGAGGGUCAGUUUCUGCUGAUGCUGCUCAUGUGGCUGGUGGCUCAGGGCAGGGGUCUACAGCUGCUGGGGCUGGGGCUAAGGUCCUGGCUGGGGAGGCCCCAAACACCACAAGGACGAAAACCAUCUGAGCCUAGAACCAUGCAGAGAGCCAA